rnacentral:rRNA from 1 species
UGAGUGAUUUUAUUAUUCUCUAACUAUAUAUAAAUAAAAGGUAAAAUUGAAUAUUAUUUUAUAAGAUAUAAAAAUUUUAAUUGAAGCUAAAAAAUUUUAGUAAUAAACUAGGAUUAGGUACCCUAUUAUUCUAAAUUUAAUUUGUACCUUAGGUUAGUAUUAGAUAUAUACUUAAAAACCAAAAAAUUUGGCGGUAAUUUAAUCUUUUCAGAGGAAUUUGCUUUUAAUCGAUAACCCACGAAAUAUCUUACUUAUUUUUGUAAAAGAGUUUGUAUACCAUCAUUAUCAGAUAAUUUUAAUAAAAUUAAUUAUUAAGCUCAAUUUCAUUAUAAAAAUUAGAUCAUGGUGCAGCUUAUGAAUAAGUCGAAGUGAAUUACAAUAGAGUUUUCUAGAAUGGAGUAAUAAAUGAAUAUUUAUUGUGAAGGUGGAUUUGAUUGUAUUUUAAAUUUAAAAAGUUUAAAUGAUAUAAGUUCUAAAUUAUGUACAUAUCGCCCGUCGCUUUCGUUAAUAACC